UACGUAGGGUGCAAGCGUUAAUCGGAAUUACUGGGCGUAAAGCGUGCGCAGGCGGCUUUGCAAGUCAGAUGUGAAAUCCCCGGGCUUAACCUGGGAACUGCAUUUGUGACUGCAUGGCUAGAGUGCGGCAGAGGGGGAUGGAAUUCCGCGUGUAGCAGUGAAAUGCGUAGAUAUGCGGAGGAACACCGAUGGCGAAGGCGAUCCCCUGGGCCGGCACUGACGCUCAUGCACGAAAGCGUGGGGAGCAAACAGG
rnacentral:rRNA from 1 species